AGUGCCUGCUAGUAGGACGUGCUGCACCUGUUGCUGGGCGUGCUGAAUCUGGCGCGCUGCUGACUGAAAAUCAAGAAAGCAAAUGGCAAACAUGAACUGAAUAGAACGGACGCCUGGUGCACCAACCGGUGCUACUCCGGAUGGAGAAAUCGGACUAGAAAGAUGAAAACAGACCAGGAGCCCCUGAAGUUCGAUUCCUACCUAGCGACGAACACAGGAGCCUACGAACAGAAACAUGGGUGAGCACAAAAACAACGAGAUCUCUACCAAAUCAAAACAACUCGGCUCCAAAUCUUGCACAGAUGAUCUCCAUGUUGGUGAGCUAUCCCAAAAGAAUCAUGGCUCAAACCCAACUCAAACUUCGUGAAUCGCAGAUCACAGAAAAGAACAAGAAACUUUCCCCAAAAACAAAAAACACAGCAC
rnacentral:lncRNA from 1 species